UUUCGAAAUUUUGCUAUUCUGUGGCCUAUCUAUUCAACAACACGUGAUUGUACUAGAUAUUUCUUGCACACCGCCUGUGUAUGCCGUAUCAUUUCUUUGUCAUCUGUAUGCCAUAUCAUUCCUCUUUUUUCUUCUCAAUUUCUCAUCAUCUUCAUCCGGCUAUUUCCUAAUUAGCAGAUUUUCCAUUUUGGGUUGUUGAUAUUACUACUCAGUUGAGGGUUUCUUCUGUCGCUAUCAGAUAUCAAUCUUAUGGUCAAAGAUUACCAUAAUGCACCUCAGAUAACUGGAUACUUUAUACUGAUUUUUCAAGUUGUAUCACUCAAUUCUUAUACACACUUACAAAUACUACCCUAUUUAGCUAGAAACUAUGACUGCUCAAUGUCUUAACUGGUGCUGCAACACUGGUUGCUACAGUAACCUUGAAAUUGAUACCUGUUGAAAAGAAGAAUAACAAGCAUCACAAUAUUACAAUUUGCUGCCAAGUGGUCCAGAACUUGCUAAAAGAAGGGAAGAGCCAACGUAAUACGAAAUCCACUUUUUUCAAUUCAGAAAUCAAUGUCAUGGCUCUACUGUUUUCACAUUGAGUAUCAUUUGCAAAUGAGGAGAUGUCAAAGGAAAAGAUCCUUCUACACAUUGGGUAGUGCUUUUCAUUUUGAUUAAUUUGUAUUGUGAUUGUUGCCAUAUGUGCUUCCCUCUUUUGGACUGUUUGGCAGGUACCAGUUAGUUUCAGGGUCUAUCGAGGUGAGGUUUGUGUACGUUCUACCUUCCCAAGACCCAACUUGUGGGAUUACACUGGAAUGUUGUUGUUGUUGUUGUGAAAAAAGGAUUUCGAUAUGAAAACAUAAUUUUCGCUCUAGAUAUGCAAUUAGUGAUUGGAUAUGCCUUAUCACGUGAUCUUGAGAUUUUAACAUCAUUAAUUUUUGUAUUCUGUUAGAGAAUGAAGAGCCAUUGAACUUUUUUUAGGAUUACAAAGAAGCAUUAUGUCUAACCAUUUGGUCUUUUUCCUUGAACAUCCACUUCUUAAAAAUAAGUUAUCACAUUAGGGGAGGGGGAGGGGGAAAGGAAUGCUAAUGCUACUGAUGGGUUUGAACCUUUCACCUCAACCGUGAAAGUAAGGGAGCUCACCAAGUGAGCCAGCCAAAUCUACUUCAAUUUAUAUAUAU